rnacentral:rRNA from 1 species
GUCUCUUCGGGGAUGAUUAAACCGGCGCACGGGUGGGUAACACGUGAGUGACCUGCCUUUUAGACUGUAACAACUUACCGAAAGGUGAGCUAAUGCCGGAUGAGUUAUAUAAGUGCAUGUUUAUAUAGGAAAAGUUGGGGAGACCUGACGCUGAAAGAUGGACUCGCGUCCCAUUAGCUAGUUGGUAGGGUAAUGGCCUACCAAGGCGACGAUGGGUAGCCGGCCUGAGAGGGUGGCCGGCCACACUGGGACUGAGACACGGCCCAGACUCCUACGGGAGGCAGCAGUGGGGAAUUUUGCGCAAUGCUCGUAAGAGUGACGCAGCGACGCCGCGUGAAUGACGAAGGCCUUCGGGUCGUAAAGUUCUUUCGACAGGGAAGAAAAUGCCUAUAAGUAACUGUGUAUGUAUUGACGGUACCUGUAUAAGCAGCCCCGGCUAACUCCGUGCCAGCAGCCGCGGUAAUACGGAGGGGGCGAGCGUUGUUCGGAGUGACUGGGCGUAAAGAGCACGUAGGCGGUGUUGUAAGUCAUUAGUCAAAGACUAGAGCUCAACUUUAGUAAGGCUAGUGAUACUAUAAUACUAGAGUAUCAGAGAGGAUUGCAGAAUUCCUGGUGUAGCGGUGAAAUGCGUAGAUAUCAGGAGGAAUACCGUUAGCGAAGGCGGCAAUCUGGCUGGAAACUGACGCUGAGGUGCGAAAGCGUGGGUAGCAAACAGGAUUAGAUACCCUGGUAGUCCACGCUGUAAACGAUGGAUG